rnacentral:rRNA from 1 species
AUGUGUAUCCCGAAGAAGAGAGGGAGCAUGGGUCUUAGAGAUCUACAAAGCUUUAAUCUUGCUAUGUUAGCAAAGCAGUGUUGGCGUCUAAUCCAGAACCCUGAUUCUUUGUGUGCAUGUGUGUUAAGUGCAAAGAAUUAUACUAAUGGAAACAUACUAUGCAGGUCCAAGAAGGGCUCUACAUUUACUUGGCAAAGUAUUGUUUCAGGGAUACAAACCUUUAAGCGGGGGUGCAUUUGGAGAGUUGGGAAUGGUUCAAAGAUGAUUAUUUGGCAAGAUCCUUGGAUAUGCUUCGGUGUUUCGGAAAGUAAUCAUUCCGCGGAGGAAAACUUUAUGGUCAAAGGUAGAAGACUUGGUUGA